rnacentral:rRNA from 1 species
GUGGGGAAUUUUGGACAAUGGGGGCAACCCUGAUCCAGCAAUGCCGCGUGCAGGAAGAAGGCCUUCGGGUUGUAAACUGCUUUUGUACGGAACGAAACGGUCUGGGUUAAUACCCUGGGCUAAUGACGGUACCGUAAGAAUAAGCACCGGCUAACUACGUGCCAGCAGCCGCGGUAAUACGUAGGGUGCAAGCGUUAAUCGGAAUUACUGGGCGUAAAGCGUGCGCAGGCGGUUUUGUAAGACAGGCGUGAAAUCCCCGGGCUCAACCUGGGAAUGGCGCUUGUGACUGCAAGGCUGGAGUGCGGCAGAGGGGGAUGGAAUUCCGCGUGUAGCAGUGAAAUGCGUAGAUAUGCGGAGGAACACCGAUGGCGAAGGCAAUCCCCUGGGCCUGCACUGACGCUCAUGCACGAAAGCGUGGGGAGCAAACAGGAUUAGAAACCCCGGUAGUCC